rnacentral:rRNA from 1 species
UACGUAGGGUGCGAGCGUUAAUCGGAAUUACUGGGCGUAAAGCGUGCGUAGGUGGUUCGUUGUGUCUGUGGUGAAAGCCCCGGGCUUAACCUGGGAAUGGCCAUGGAAACUGGCGAGCUGGAGUGUGGCAGAGGGGGGUGGAAUUCCGCGUGUAGCAGUGAAAUGCGUAGAGAUGCGGAGGAACACCGAUGGCGAAGGCAGCCCCCUGGGCUGACACUGACGCUCAGGCACGAAAGCGUGGGGAGCAAACAGG